UACAGAGGGGGCUAGCGUUAUUCGGAAUUAUUGGGCGUAAAGGGCGCGUAGGCGGCCAUGCGUGUCUUCCGUGAAAUCCCUCGGCUUAACUGAGGACGUGCGGAAGAAACUGCAAGGCUCGAGUCCGGGAGAGGGGGGUGGAAUUCCCAGUGUAGCGGUGAAAUGCGUAGAUAUCAGGAGGAACACCAAUGGCGAAGGCAGCUCGCUGGGACGUGACUGACGCUGAGACGCGAAAGCGUGGGGAGCAAACAGG
rnacentral:rRNA from 1 species